AUUGAACGCUGGCGGCAGGCCUAACACAUGCAAGUCGAGCGGAACGGCGGACGGGUGAGUACGGCCUAGGAAUCAGCCUGGUAGUGGGGUAUCACGUCGGGAAACAGGCGCUAAUACCGCAUACUAUCAGAUGAGCCUAGGUCGGAUUAGCUAGUUGGUGGGGAAAAGGCCUACCAAGGAGACGAUCCGUAACUGGUCUGAGAGGAUUAUCAGUCACACUGGAACUGAGACACGGUCCAGACUCCUACGGGAGGCAGCAGUGGGGAAUAUGGGACAAUGGGCGAAAGCCUGAUCCAGCCAUGCCGCGUGUGUGAAGAAGGUCUUCGGAUUGUAAAGCACUUUAAGUUGGGAGGCGUUACCAACAGAAUAAGCACCGGCUAACGUCGUGCCAGCAGCCGCGGUAAUUC
rnacentral:rRNA from 1 species